rnacentral:misc_RNA from 1 species
AUCGCGUGGAAGCCCUGCCUGGGGUUGAAGCGUUAAAACUUAAUCAGGC